rnacentral:rRNA from 1 species
GAUGAACGCUGGCGGCGUGCCUAAUACAUGCAAGUCGAGCGAACAGAUAAGGAGCUUGCUCCUUUGACGUUAGCGGCGGACGGGUGAGUAACACGUGGAUAACCUACCUAUAAGACUGGGAUAACUUCGGGAAACCGGAGCUAAUACCGGAUAACAUAUUGAACCGCAUGGUUCAAUAGUGAAAGGCGGCUUUGCUGUCACUUAUAGAUGGAUCCGCGCCGUAUUAGCUAGUUGGUAAGGUAACGGCUUACCAAGGCAACGAUACGUAGCCGACCUGAGAGGGUGAUCGGCCACACUGGAACUGAGACACGGUCCAGACUCCUACGGGAGGCAGCAGCAGGGAAUCUUCCGCAAUGGGCGAAAGCCUGACGGAGCAACGCCGCGUGAGUGAUGAAGGUCUUCGGAUCGUAAAACUCUGUUAUCAGGGAAGAACAAAUGUGUAAGUAACUGUGCACAUCUUGACGGUACCUGAUCAGAAAGCCACGGCUAACUACGUG